rnacentral:tRNA from 1 species
GCCUGACUGGUUCAGUUGGUAGAGCAUGUGACUCUUGAUCUCAGAGUUGUGGACUCAAACCCCACAUUGUGCA